UACGUAGGGUGCGAGCGUUAAUCGGAAUACUGGGCGUAAAGCGUGCGCAGGCGGUUUUGAAAGACAGGCGUGAAAUCCCCGGGCUCAACCUGGGAACUGCGUUUGUGACUUCAAGACUAGAGUACGGCAGAGGGGGGUAGAAUUCCACGUGUAGCAGUGAAAUGCGUAGAGAUGUGGAGGAAUACCGAUGGCGAAGGCAGCCCCCUGGGCCAGUACUGACGCUCAUGCACGAAAGCGUGGGGAGCAAACAGG
rnacentral:rRNA from 1 species